AGGUCACCCAUGAUUUGAAUUUCUUCAGCUUUACUCAGUGAUUUGUCGGAUGAAAUAUUUUUUAGAAUAGAUUCCAUAAUUUCAGUAAACUUAAUGAUAUCAGAGUUUGGAGGUCUAUAUACAUUACCAAUAAUUCUAAAUUUCUUUGAAGAAACUUUGACUUUUAAAAAGAUAGAUU